rnacentral:rRNA from 1 species
ACGGAAGGCAGCAGUAAGGAAUCUUGCACAAUGGGGGAAACCCUGAUGCAGCAACGCCGCGUGAUUGAUUAAGGCCUUCGGGGUGUAAAAAUCUGAUCUAAGGGAAGAAACAAAUGACGGUACCUUAGGAGAAAGCCCCGGCUAACUACGUGCCAGCAGCCGCGGUAAUACGUAGGGGGCAAGCGUUAUCCGGAAUUAUUGGGCGUAAAGAGUGCGUAGGUGGUUACCUAAGCGCAAGGUUUAAUCUUGAGGCUUAACCUCAUUCUGCAGUGCGAACUGGGCUACUUGAGUGCAGGAGGGGAAAGCGGAAUUCGUAGUGUAGCGGUGAAAUGCGUAGAUAUUAGGAAGAACACCGGUGGCGAAGGCGGCUUUCUGGACUGUAACUGACACUGAGGCACGAAAGCGUGGGGAGCAAACAGGAUUAGAUACCCUGGUA